AGAGGUAGCUUGCUACUGAUCUUAGCGGCGGACGGGUGAGUAAUGCUUAGGAAUCUGCCUAUUAGUGGGGGACAACAUCUCGAAAGGGAUGCUAAUACCGCAUACGUCCUACGGGAGAAAGCAGGGGAUCUUCGGACCUUGCGCUAAUAGAUGAGCCUAAGUCGGAUUAGCUAGUUGGUGGGGUAAAGGCCUACCAAGGCGACGAUCUGUAGCGGGUCUGAGAGGAUGAUCCGCCACACUGGGACUGAGACACGGCCCAGACUCCUACGGGAGGCAGCAGUGGGGAAUAUUGGACAAUGGGGGGAACCCUGAUCCAGCCAUGCCGCGUGUGUGAAGAAGGCCUUAUGGUUGUAAAGCACUUUAAGCGAGGAGGAGGCUACUUUAGAUAAUACCUAGAGAUAGUGGACGUUACUCGCAGAAUAAGCACCGGCUAACUCUGUGCCAGCAGCCGCGGUAAUACAGAGGGUGCAAGCGUUAAUCGGAUUUACUGGGCGUAAAGCGCGCGUAGGCGGCUAAUUAAGUCAAAUGUGAAAUCCCCGAGCUUAACUUGGGAAUUGCAUUCGAUACUGGUUAGCUAGAGUGUGGGAGAGGAUGGUAGAAUUCCAGGUGUAGCGGUGAAAUGCGUAGAGAUCUGGAGGAAUACCGAUGGCGAAGGCAGCCAUCUGGCCUAACACUGACGCUGAGGUGCGAAAGCAUGGGGAGCAAACAGGAUUAGAUACCCUGGUAGUCCAUGCCGUAAACGAUGUCUACUAGCCGUUGGGGCC
rnacentral:rRNA from 1 species